rnacentral:rRNA from 1 species
GCCUACGGGAGGCAGCAGUGGGGAAUCUUGCGCAAUGGGCGAAAGCCUGACGCAGCAACGCCGCGUGAGCGAAGAAGGCCUUCGGGUUGUAAAGCUCUGUCAGGGGGAAAGAAGGCACCUGGGUUAAUAGCCCAAGGGCUGACGGUACCCCCAAAGGAAGCCACGGCUAACUACGUGCCAGCAGCCGCGGUAAUACGUAGGUGGCAAGCGUUGUCCGGAAUCAUUGGGCGUAAAGAGCGCGUAGGUGGCUUGUCAGGUCUGAUGUGAAAUUUCGGGGCUCAACUCCGAACCUGCAUCGGAAACCGGCUUGCUAGAGUCUGGGAGAGGAGAGUGGAAUUCCUGGUGUAGCGGUGAAAUGCGUAGAUAUCAGGAGGAACACCGGUAGCGAAGGCGGCUCUCUGGAACAGUACUGACGCUGAGGCGCGAAAGCUAGGGGAGCGAACAGGAUUAGAUACCCCGGUAGUC